rnacentral:rRNA from 1 species
GCUUAACACAUGCAAGUCGAGGGGCAGCAUGAUCUUUGCUUGCUAAGGUUGAUGGCGACCGGCGCACGGGUGCGUAACGCGUAUGCAACUUGCCUUACAGAGGGGGAUAACCCGUUGAAAGACGGACUAAAACCGCAUACACUUGUAUUAUUGCAUGAUAUUACAAGGAAAUAUUUAUAGCUGUAAGAUAGGCAUGCGUCCCAUUAGCUGGUUGGUGAGGUAACGGCUCACCAAGGCGACGAUGGGUAGGGGAACUGACAGGUUUAUCCCCCACACUGGUACUGAGACACGGACCAGACUCCUACGGGAGGCAGCAAUGAGGAAUAUUGGUCAAUGGGCGAUAGCCUGAACCAGCCAAGUCGCGUGAAGGAAGACAGUCCUAAGGAUUGUAAACUUCUUUUAUACGGGAAUAACGGGCGAUACGAGUAUUGCAUUGAAUGUACCGUAAGAAUAAGCAUCGGCUAACUCCGUGCCAGCAGCCGCGGUAAUACGGAGGAUGCGAGCGUUAUCCGGAUUUAUUGGGUUUAAAGGGUGCGUAGGUUGUUCGGUAAGUCAGCGGUGAAACCUGAGCGCUCAACGUUCAGCCUGCCGUUGAAACUGCCGGGCUUGAGUUCAGUGGCGGCAGGCGGAGUUCGUGGUGUAGCGGUGAAAUGCAUAGAUAUCACGAGGAACUCCGAUUGCGAAGGCAGCUUGCCAUACUGCGACUGACACUGAAGCACGAAGGCGUGGGUAUCAAACAGGAUUAGAUACCCUGGUAGUCCACGCAGUAAACGAUGAUUACUAGGAGUUUGCGAUAUACCGUCAAGCUUCCACAGCGAAAGCGUUAAGUAAUCCACCUGGGGAGUACGCCGGCAACGGUGAAACUCAAAGGAAUUGACGGGGGCCCGCACAAGCGGAGGAACAUGUGGUUUAAUUUGAUGAUACGCGAGGAACCUUACCCGGGAUUGAAAUGUAGAUGACGGAUGGUGAAAACCGUCUUCCCUUCGGGGCUUCUAUGUAGGUGCUGCAUGGUUGUCGUCAGCUCGUGCCGUGAGGUGUCGGCUUAAGUGCCAUAACGAGCGCAACCCACAUCGGUAGUUGCUAACAGUUUUCGCUGAGGACUCUACCGAGACUGCCGUCGUAAGGCGUGAGGAAGGUGUGGAUGACGUCAAAUCAGCUACGGCCCUUACAUCCGGGGCGACACACGUGUUACAAUGGGAGGGACAAAGGGCAGCUCCCGGGCGACCGGAUGCGAAUCUCUAAACCCUUCCCCAGUUCGGAUCGGAGUGUGCAACUCGACUCCGUGAAGCUGGAUUCGCUAGUAAUCGCGCAUCAGCCAUGGCGCGGUGAAUACGUUCCCGGGCUUUGUACACACCGCCCGUCAAGCCAUGGGAGUCGGGGGUACCUGAAGGGCGUAACGGCAAGGGGCGCACUAGGGUAAUACCGGUGAC